rnacentral:lncRNA from 1 species
CUCCAGUUGACCCAGUGAUUUACAAGAGCAUACAGCAUGGAUAAAAAAGAAGUGUGUGUUAUGUUUUUUGACUAAAACCCACAAAAUCUGCAAGAUUUCUUUUAAGCAGCUCCUCGGGCAAAAACAGAAAAUGUCAAGACUGAAGAUGUGCCGAGACUCAUGACCAGAAGGUUUUCAAACCAGAAGGCAGAAAAAGAUCCCUCUGUGGUUGAAGGAGCAGAAUAAAUUGCACAUGUCUCAGCCUUUAGAGCUUUGG